rnacentral:rRNA from 1 species
AUUCCAGCUCCAAUAGCGUAUACUAGAGUUGUUGCAGUUAAAAAGCUCGUAGUUGAAUUUCUGGUCUCGGACAGCGGUCUGCCUCAAACGAGGUACGCACCACCUGUUCAGGUCCAUCCUCGGAGAAAACAUGCCUGUGAUUCAGUUCAUGGGUAUGGGAUCUUCGUCAUUUACUGUGAGCAAAAUAUAGUGUUCAAAGCAGGCUUAUGCCGUUGAAUACAUUAGCAUGGAAUAAUAAAAUAAGACCUUGGUCUAUUUUGUUGGUUUGUACUCCAAGGUAAUGAUUAAUAGGGAUAGUUGGGGGUAUUCGUAUUCAAUUGUCAGAGGUGAAAUUCUUGGAUUUAUGGAAGACGAACUACUGCGAAAGCAUUUACCAAGGAUGUUUUCAUUA